rnacentral:rRNA from 1 species
AACGAACGCUGGCGGCGCGCCUAAAACAUGCAAGUCGAACGAGAAAGUAACUUCGGUUACGAGUAGAGUGGCGCACGGGUGAGGAACACGUGGAUAACGUACCUUUUAGACGAGGAUAACUCUCCGAAAGGAGUGCUAAUACUCGAUGAUGUGCGAACUUCGGUGAGGAAGUUUUCAUCAAAUCAGGGUCCUGCUAUGGCUAAAAGAGCGGUCUGCGUCCCAUUAGUUUGUUGGUGAGGUAACGGCUCAUCCAAGACGAUGAUGGGUAGCUGGUCUGAGAGGAUGAUCAGCCACACUGGAACUGAAACACGGUCCAG